UAGGGAAUCUUCGGCAAUGGGGGCAACCCUGACCGAGCAACGCCGCGUGAGUGAAGAAGGUUUUCGGAUCGUAAAGCUCUGUUGUAAGUCAAGAACGGGUGUGAGAGUGGAAAGUUCACACUGUGACGGUAGCUUACCAGAAAGGGACGGCUAACUACGUGCCAGCAGCCGCGGUAAUACGUAGGUCCCGAGCGUUGUCCGGAUUUAUUGGGCGUAAAGCGAGCGCAGGCGGUCUGAUAAGUCUGAAGUUAAAGGCUGUGGCUCAACCAUAGUUCGCUUUGGAAACUGUCAAACUUGAGUGCAGAAGGGGAGAGUGGAAUUCCAUGUGUAGCGGUGAAAUGCGUAGAUAUAUGGAGGAACACCGGUGGCGAAAGCGGCUCUCUGGUCUGUAACUGACGCUGAGGCUCGAAAGCGUGGGGAGCGAACAGG
rnacentral:rRNA from 1 species